rnacentral:other from 2 species
CAACCCCUGCCGUGUUCGUGAUUGGAAGAUGCUCUUUGACCCAACACAUAAUAGAAGGGGGCCUUUCUUGAUUUUGGUGUGCAAGUUCUGCUUGAACAGAAAAGCCUAAAGAAAUCAUAGGGCGCCCGCCAUGAAUAUUUGGUUCAAAGACCUGCCAACACGGCACUGUGGCGGGGGUUUU